AGCGGCGGACGGGUGAGUAAUGCCUAGGAAAUUGCCCUGAUGUGGGGGAUAACCAUUGGAAACGAUGGCUAAUACCGCAUAAUGCCUACGGGCCAAAGAGGGGGACCUUCGGGCCUCUCGCGUCAGGAUAUGCCUAGGUGGGAUUAGCUAGUUGGUGAGGUAAUGGCUCACCAAGGCGACGAUCCCUAGCUGGUCUGAGAGGAUGAUCAGCCACACUGGAACUGAGACACGGUCCAGACUCCUACGGGAGGCAGCAGUGGGGAAUAUUGCACAAUGGGCGCAAGCCUGAUGCAGCCAUGCCGCGUGUGUGAAGAAGGCCUUCGGGUUGUAAAGCACUUUCAGUCGUGAGGAAGGUGGUGUAGUUAAUAGCUGCAUUAUUUGACGUUAGCGACAGAAGAAGCACCGGCUAACUCCGUGCCAGCAGCCGCGGUAAUACGGAGGGUGCGAGCGUUAAUCGGAAUUACUGGGCGUAAAGCGCAUGCAGGUGGUUUGUUAAGUCAGAUGUGAAAGCCCGGGGCUCAACCUCGGAAUAGCAUUUGAAACUGGCAGACUAGAGUACUGUAGAGGGGGGUAGAAUUUCAGGUGUAGCGGUGAAAAUGCGUAGAGAUCUGAAGGAAUAACCGAUGGCGAAAGGCGGCCCCCUGCACAGAUACUGACACUCAGAUGCGAAAGCGUGCGGAGCAAACAGGAUUACAUACCGCUGGUAGUACACGCCGUAAACGAUGUCUACUUGGAGGUUGUGGCCUUGAGCCGUGGCUUUCGGAGCUAACGCGUUAAGUAGACCGCCUGGUGCAGGACGGUCGCCAAGAUUAAAACUCAAAUGAAUUGACGGGGGCCCGCACAAGCGGUGGAGCAUGUGGUUUAAUUCGAUGCAACGCGAAGAACCUUACCUACUCUUGACAUCCAGAGAACUUUCCAGAGAUGGAUUGGUGCCUUCGGGAACUCUGAGACAGGUGCUGCAUGGCUGUCGUCAGCUCGUGUUGUGAAAUGUUGGGUUAAGUCCCGCAACGAGCGCAACCCUUAUCCUUGUUUGCCAGCGAGUAAUGUCGGGAACUCCAGGGAGACUGCCGGUGAUAAACCGGAGGAAGGUGGGGACGACGUCAAGUCAUCAUGGCCCUUACGAGUAGGGCUACACACGUGCUACAAUGGCGCAUACAGAGGGCAGCAAGCUAGCGAUAGUGAGCGAAUCCCAAAAAGUGCGUCGUAGUCCGGAUUGGAGUCUGCAACUCGACUCCAUGAAGUCGGAAUCGCUAGUAAUCGUGGAUCAGAAUGCCACGGUGAAUACGUUCCCGGGCCUUGUACACACCGCCCGUCACACCAUGGGAGUGGGCUGCAAAAGAAGUAGGUAGUUUAACCUUCGGGAGGACGCUUACCAC
rnacentral:rRNA from 1 species